rnacentral:sRNA from 1 species
CCCCUCUGGGCCUGCGGGACGGAACAGGCAGUGAAUACCAGGGCCUGGUGAAGCACACAGGAGGCUGCCACUGUGGAGCAGUUCGUUUUGAAGUUUGGGCCUCAGCAGACUUGCAUAUAUUUGACUGCAAGUGAGUAUUUUUUUUUUCCCUAAAUUGGCUUAAAAGAAUUUCAGAGUUAAAAUGCAAUAUUUCAAAAUAAUCUGGGGAGUUGGGGUACAGAGGAAACAUUGGCCUUGGGCUGGUAACUGUUGAAGUCAGGUGAUGGGGACAGAAAGGUUCAUUGUUCUAUUUUUGUUCCUUUUGUAUGGCUCAUCACAGAGCUUCAACAGCAUGGCCCAGGUGACACAGAGCAGGGUCCUCAGGGCUUGUGGCUUGUGGCAGCAUCACCCUCAGACUGACACUGCUGAGGAGCCGGGGGCGGUUAGCUGCAGGUGUGCCUGGCUGGGUACUGAGUGGAAAGCCUUGGGCAGAAUCUUCAUAGAAGUCUAGAGUUGGGGAGAGUUGGAGGGUACGUUAGUGAAGGGUGUAUACACCUGGAGGCUCCCCAGGCCCUCCACUC